CACUCCUACGGGAGGCAGCAGUGGGGAAUUUUGGACAAUGGGCGAAAGCCUGAUCCAGCAAUGCCGCGUGAGUGAAGAAGGCCUUCGGGUUGUAAAGCUCUUUUGUCAGGGAAGAAACGGUGAGAGCUAAUAUCUUUUGCUAAUGACGGUACCUGAAGAAUAAGCACAGGCUAACUACGUGCCAGCAGCCGCGGUAAUACGUAGGGUGCAAGCGUUAAUCGGAAUUACUGGGCGUAAAGCGUGCGCAGGCGGUUUUGUAAGUCUGAUGUGAAAUCCCCGGGCUCAACCUGGGAAUUGCAUUGGAGACUGCAAGGCUAGAAUCUGGCAGAAGGGGGUAGAAUUCCACGUGUAGCAGUGAAAUGCGUAGAUAUGUGGAGGAACACCGAUGGCGAAGGCAGCCCCCUGGGUCAAGAUUGACGCUCAUGCACGAAAGCGUGGGGAGCAAACAGGAUUAGAUACCCCUGUAGUCCC
rnacentral:rRNA from 1 species